UGUUACCAAGUAUGUGAUCAAUUUUCGAGAAGGUUACAUGAGAUACCGAGGAGGACUGAAUGGCUGCGGGACCAGGUGGGACAGAAAUCACUUUCAAUAGAAGGUUCCAUUGGAUGUUGAGAAGAUCCGAGAACUCACAAAUGGAGCAAUGUGUAUUUUAGCCAACCUGAGCUUCGGGUGACCUGUGGUUAAUGCUAAGGGGACUCUGUAUAAGGAGAAAUUUG